GCAUGGGUGGCUCAGUCGGCUAAGCGCCUGACUUCAGCUCAGGUCAUGAUCUCAGGUUUGUGGGUUCGAGCCCCGCAUCAAGCU
rnacentral:tRNA from 1 species